UUACGGCCAUAUCACGCUGAAACACCGGCUCCCGAACGAUCACUAAAGUUAAGCAACAUCGAGCCUGGUUAUUACCUAGAUGUGUGAACACUUGGGAAUACCUGGUGCU